CGGAAAUAGCUGCUUUUACCGAAUCCUUCUUUGGGGAAGUGGCCAGACCCCAUUUGAGUCUUUGUAUGGCGGCUGAAAUUUUGCAAGUUUAAGAUUUCACCGCCCCAUUCCGCGAUGGUUGCGUAAUCAGCUAAGGUUGUGAAAAGUUCUUUCGGCCAGUAACCUACCAAUAAGUUACUGGGUCCCAAACUCAGCCACCAAUUCCCAUAUAUACGAUCCUAUCAAAACGAAUACAUAUAAAUGUUUAGGAAUUGAAACAUAUAGAAUUUUAAUAAGAAACAUAUAUAUAUGUAAAGCAGUGGGAAAAAGAAACGGACCUUCCAUACAAGUAUGGUAAUCUCGUAUUGACUACCUCCGAAAGAAGAAGUGGGAGAAAUAGCUCCACCAAGGACAAUACUGCUACUAGUUUGUAUAAAACCAGAGCAUCUUAGGUUAUAGCAUCCGUUCUUAUACGAAUCACUCUGUAAAAUGUUACAUUAUUGUUACCAACAAAAAUAAUAAACUAAUUCAAGUUCGUGUUAUUCUAGAUGGUUUUAAUUAAUGCAUUAAUACAAGCAAAACCAGUAGUAUGGAUGCUUUAAAACUCAGUUAAAGAUUAACAACUGGUUUUUUCUAUUUAGUGUUUUUUUCUAUUUAGUGUAAAUAUUUUUAAAUCAAAUAUAUAAUAAUGAUUAAACAUUAAAAUGUGAUUUAAAUUUUGUAGAAGAUUCAAAUUUUGUUUGCAAUUUGGGUCCUAACAAAAUUAAUUUGAAAAGUAUGUAGAGUUAGCCCUGAGAGUUGAAGGUCCAAAAGCCUAAUUAUUUUUCGGCCUUCAAAAAUAUGGAAAUCAAAAUAUCACGGGCCGGAAUAGAAUUUUACAAGGCCUUAAGCCCUUGUUCUGAUUUCUGUUCCAGGACGGGUCUGUAAGUAUGUGUUAAUUUUGAAAAUCUUAUUAUUCUUUUUAUUUAAGUUUUGUUAACUCCAUAUGUUUUAAAAGUUUCUUUUAAUAUUUGUAUAUAUAUAGAUAUUCUUGUAGUAAUUUUCCAACUCACAAUGUAAAAAUACGCCAAGGAGAGAGUAAUAAUCAAUUUAAAAAACCAAUUACAUUUAUUUUAAUAUAUUGAUUUGUUGCUUAACUUUUGAAAAAUGUACUGUAAAUAAAUUAAAUAUAAUCGAAUUUUUUAAAUGUCAUUUAAAUAUUUAAAUAUAUAUACAUAUUUAAAAUUAAAUCAAGAGAUUUUAUUUUGUAUAUUAUAACUUAAAUUAAGAGAUAUUAUUAAUUAAUGUAAUUUUGAAAACAUAUUUCACGAUAUUUGUAUCCACUUUAUUGUCCUCUAGUAUUGUUUUUUAUAUAUUGCAUAAUAUUUUUGUAUAGUAUAGAAACUAAAAAUAGUAUAAUAUCCACAAUAAACUUAUAAUAUUACUCCUUUAUUUUUUAUUUGUCACAGUACUCUUUGCUCAAAGUAAUACAGUUAUUGUAUUACCAAAAUAUUAAAUAAUAUUAAUAAUGUUCUAUAACAUAAAAUGCGAUAAAACUGAUAAAGAAACUUACUGUCCAAAAAAUAAAUAGCCUCGGUUUGUUAUCGCCAUACAACGUCGGAAGAACCUAAAUAUUUGAAUAAUGCAACCAUGUUAGUUUAUUAAUAAUAGUACGUAUAUAUUUGAUGAAAAUUAUAGAAACAUCCACAAUCAAAAAUUUAAACCAACCUGCCAGCCAACCUCUAGGGUGUUAAGGUCAUUAGUCUUAUAUUUUCCCGAGCUAAUCCAAAUCUGAGAUAUAGACAUCUCCUUUCCCUCUAUCGCCGGAUCCCAUACGUUAAUCGUGGCUUUUGCUCCGUAUAGUUCUGGUGGGCUUUUCUGACUUAUGAUCGCAUACUAUCAUUCGACACCAUAUAUAAUACGUAAUUAGAUGGUUGCUUGAAGACAAUGUCAAAAUUAAAAAAAAAAGCUAAUAAACACACAAAAUUCAGUGUACGUAGUUUUAAUUUCAACAGCUUUUGACUUGCUUUCUAAUUAAAAGAAAAUUUAAGGCAUAUCAAAAAUAAUAAAUAACUGAAUAAUUUUAGAAAACCAAGAACCAAGAGAACCUGAAAAAUCGGUUGCGCAUAUUAAUCAAUCUAACUAUCUAGAAUAGUUUUAUAAUAUACCUCAUGUCCACGAUUGUAACUGGUGAAAUCAGGCCCUGUCCGGUCAGUCUUACUGACACUGUAGUUCCGUACUGGUACGGUUCCUUCCGGACAGUUGACAGUACUAACUUGAGCUUCCCAAGUUUCCAGUUUGCUUUUCUUGUCUGCUUCGACUGUCCGAGGAAUUUCGGACGGCCAUUCCUGUUUUUUUUUCUCAAAAGCCAAAAAUAUUAUUAUUUUAUUUUAAAUAACAUUAACAUGGAAGUACAAAAUUAAAAAUGUAAAAAAUCAAGCGAACCUGAAUUUUAUGAUUUUUUAGUAAAGUGCUUUCAAAUGCUGGCUGCUUUAUUUUAUCCAUACAUUCGACAUCAUCUCCAUCCGAAGUCUGUUGAAGAUAAAUUUCACAAAUACAUAAAAGAUUAGUAUAAUUACUUUAGUUCAAAAAUUAAGUGUAUGAUAUAUGGACAUGUGGAUGCGGUGUUCAAACGGGGUAAAUGAAAAAAGAUUUUAAAAAAUUGACGCUGCAAUUUUUCAUUUCUUGAGUAUUUGUUUUUGGUUGGAAACACAUGCACAUACGAUGAUGACGGACAAAUAAUCCUAGUUUAAUAGCGGAUAAUUAAUUUCUACUAGUUUAAUAGUUGAUAUAACAUUAAAACUCGGUUGUUUUUUGUUUUUCAAAGAAGUUUAGGACAAAACUUUUAGAAUAGUGAACUGGAUCAGCAACAAAAGCCAUAUAAGUAAAGUAGAAACCUUAAUAGUAACUGCAACUUUGAUGAUGGCUAGAACAAGGAUGAAACGAAGAAUCUGCGGGAAAUCCAUUGUAGAAUCACAGCGCUCUCUAUCUUCUUUUCUCACAGGCGAUAUCUGGAAGUCAGCGUUUUCUCUCUCUCGAUAUCUCGCGUGAACUAUUGUCUCUUAUGUUUUGAUUACUCUCGCUCUCUUCUGUUUUUAAAGAGUUUUUUUUCUGAGUCGACGAAAGAAGAAUCCCAUGCAAAGAAGGCAUGUGUUCAUUAUAACGACCAAACAAGAAUGGUUUCUGUUUCUGGUAAGUGGUAACCGUGUGACGUUCAAGUAGAUAAUUUAUACAUGGGCCAUGUACAUCCGUUCUUUUCAAAAGAUCAGUUCUUUUCAAACGUUUAGAAAACAAUGGAUCCAAUGAAUUAGGCUAAAGUUAAAAAGUAAUAUUCAUUGGAAGGCCAGGGGCGUAGCCAGUGCAUGACCAAUGGCGGCACGUGCACCUGUGGAAGGCACACCGGCUCCAUCCGCAAACUCUAAAAACCAUGUGAGCAACUUACAAACAUCACACUAUAUAAUGAAAAUGAUAUAUGACCAAAAAAAGAAGAAAGUAACUGGAUACAUGACUCAUCAUUUAUGUCGAUUUAUCCUUAUUGCUUGAUUUCGAACUUCAUAAAAAUGUUCUUGUUUAAUUUCACACUUGAUUUGCUCUGGCUUAUUCCUUUUUUUAUUGUAAAGUACUAAAAUAGAUAACUCUCUCGUUCCCUUGGAAACAAAAUGUUUUGGGAAUAGCUUACUCGUGUUUAGAUUAUCUUUUCCUCACAUUUCUUUCUUUAACUUUUUGUGUGUUUUACGUUACAUAUAAUUAAUAACCAUGUUUUAACAAUACAUAUAAUUAAUAACCAUGUUUUAACAAAAAAAAGCCUUGUCUACUAAGAAAUACCCUAUUUGGUCUACAACAUGAACUAAAGUGUAAAAGACAAUAAUCUAAAACUUCAACUUGAUCCACUCCAUAAACCACAUACGAUUUCAUGAUAUUUCAAUACUUAUAUGUUUUGUAGACGUUAGAAAAUUCAACAUCUACAUAGGCUCCACUAGAAAAUAAUUAGUCACAUAAAAUCACAAGUUAGUUUACUCCACGUAAAGUAAUUCUUUUUUGUUUGCAGAAAUAUUUACAUUUAAGUUCGUCUACGAUACGAUUAAACAUGUCUACAUUAACUAGAUACUUAUCAAAAGAAAGUUAGAUUAAACAAAUAUUAGUUAGAAGAUUUCAAACUCGGUUCACUCUCACUGUAUAGACAUUUUUUAACAAUAGGUCCUAAAUUUAAUUUGGUCCAUGAUAUAACUGAUAAACUAAAGAUAUCUAAUAAACCCAAAUAAUUUAGAAUUGAUAUACAAGAGGAGCUAACUUCGUCAAACAAGACAAAAUGCUUAAAUAUGCUUUAUUUUAAUGUAAAAUAUAAUUCCUAUGAAAUAUAUAACUUCCCCAGUGAUAAGAUUCAAUUUGUGAAGAAUUGUUUUUCAUAAAAAGUAAUUACAACUCUUUUAAUAGAGAAGAUAUAUAUUCUUUUGAAGAAUAUAAAUCUAGAGUGUAAUUUAAAGGACAAAUGGGAAAAAGGUAGGAAAGAAGAGGAAAAGUUGUCUCAGAUAGUUGUGGGUCUUGUAAAGAGACUACGCGAUAGCCAUAGCUCAAAACAACAAUAACAACAAAGAUUGCACAUUUCUCCUCAACUACUUCACUCUCAAUUAUGUUCAUCUUUGCUAUUACAUCCACUACUACAUCUACGUUAUGUUCAUCUUUGUCUACAUUAAUGAUGUGAAUGUUCCUCCAACAUCCACUACUGCAUCCACCCCCAAAGAUUGCCAUUUUAGGUCGUUUGUUUUUCUUAAAACUACAAUUCUGUAAUUUUUAGUAUUUCUAAAGCCACAUUCAACAUUUUAACAGUAAAACUAUAAAUUUCAAACUAAAAAACCUUGACAGCAAAAUACAAGUCUCAAACAAUCGGACCAUAAUGUCGACAAUCAUUUUGCCUCUCUGUUAAAUACUAGCUCAGAUAACGAAUCACAACACAUCAUAAUAUUAGAUCAAAUGGUAUAAUAUUUUAUCGUCUCGCAAGUUUAGUGACAAAACAUAAUGCCAUUUACUACUACCAAUUGGAUCCGGUUAAGUCAAGUAAAUUUGACCAAUUUGGUUUGGUUAUUGGUUACUCUAACGGUUUAACAAAUCUAUAUUAAACUAACCGUUUAGCAAUCGAAAACUUUGACCUUUGAUAGGUAAUAACGUUGAAAGAAACGACCAGAAGAGCGAGAUCGUCCGAUCUCGACUAUGAACAACAAUAACCAGCAUCAGCUUCUGAACAGCUUAGCUUCUUAUUAAUCAACUUUUAUAAGAUCUACUUUAGUGUUGUUUCUAUAGUAGAUCCCAAUCAACUUUUUGGGUAUCCUAAAAUUAAUUUGGUUUCCAGAUAAGUGUAUGUUGUCCCUUAGAUUUUAAAAAAAUCCCCAAUAAAAUUAUUCUAAAAAGAACAAACAGUUGGAACUUAUAAGUCAAGAAGAAGAUAGAAAGAAAAAGAAAAACACUUAAUGAAUUAUUCUUGAUUGAUUCUCCGUUUGAAAAGUAACCAUGAGAGCCACUACAGGAAAAAAAGAGUUAAUAUCAGGUAUCAAACAAGACAAGAGUAUCGUUAAACAAAGAAACCACAAAGACAUUUAUUUACCUGCUUAGUGGAGUCAGGUAUGAACCUCACGACCGAGCAAAUAUCUGCCGUGAAAGGACUUGGCCUUUUUUUUAAAGUAGAAAAAGAUGUAAUCAGCAAACUAUAGUUUAUCCUUCUUUGGGGAAGUGGCCAGACCCCAUUUGAGUCUUUGUAUGGCGGCUGAAAUUUUGCAAGUUUAAGAUUUCACCGCCCCAUUCCGCGAUGGUUGCGUAAUCAGCUAAGGUUGUGAAAAGUUCUUUCGGCCAGUAACCUACCAAUAAGUUACUGGGUCCCAAACUCAGCCACCAAUUCCCAUAU
rnacentral:lncRNA from 1 species